GUAACAUGUCAGUUUAGUUUAGCGGUCUUUACAGUUGAAUUUAGCUGAGAAAAGCUGACUGUGAGCCGGGCAC